UACAGAUCUGGAAAAAGAUAUAUGCGAUGCAGAUAUUUCAGAAUCUGAGUGCGUUAAAGUUUUAAAAACAUUUAAAAAUAAUAAAAGCCCUGGUACAGACGGGCUUACUGCUGAGUUUUACAAAUUUUUCUGGAUUGAUAUAAAAAAAUAUGUGUUAGAAAGCUAUGAAUAUUCCUUCGAAACCGGAACCCUUUCAAUAGACCAAAGACGGGGUACUCUUACUCUUAUUCCAAAGAAAGAUAAAGAUAGAACACUCUUGUCGAACUGGCGUCCCCUCUCUAUCUUAAAUUUUGAUUAUAAAUUAUUAGCUAUUGCGGAAAGAAUGAAAUUAUUUCUUCCAAAGCUUAUAGAUCCGGACCAAACGGGAUAUGUGGCUGGUAGAUACAUUGGUGAAAAUCU
rnacentral:lncRNA from 1 species